rnacentral:lncRNA from 1 species
ACUGUAAAAGUUUUGAUUACUUAGACGUGGAAAGAUUUUACGUUCCUUUUGAAUGCAGACCUGACAGCUGGACUGCAAACGUGCUUUGAUACUGCUGUAUACGUGCAUCACAACGAGUGCAUUAUGUCUAAGCAACAAAAUGUAUGUGAAGGCCCGGAGUUACGCUUUGCUGCAGUCGGUGCAAAUUUGGCGUUCCGGCCCGGUUGGACUCUACGCCAGUUUGUGCGACUACGCAGCGAUUACUUCGUUCCUUGGUAUGUUAUCAGAUAUGUUAGGGCAGGUCUUGAAGGAAAUAUUACGCUUUAGCACUGACCGAACCCCUGAAAGUUUCCGCAGCCCGAUUUUGCCCAGCACCGAGCGACCCCCCUCCCGGCCUCCCCCCCCCCAUCCCGACCCCCGCCGCGCAUCCCAACCGCCGUGCCACAAUCCGUACACAUGUGUGCAUGUGUAACAGAAGGCACCGGGCCAUGCCUGACUGCACACGCACCCCACGCACACCGCCGCGUUCACUGUGCAGACGACCGAGAAAUUUUGCAGUGGAGACAGCCCGGGCGCAUAGACACACGUAAGUGGUUGCGCAGAUGGGGGGAGGGGGGGCACAACGCGAGGCCAGGGGCUUCAGGCUGCCAAACAAAGCCAGCUAGUUUGCACGCCUCCGUCCUCAACUUCACAGGGUAGCUGCACGCACGCGAAGAGGCUAAGCUCGGCCAGCCUGAGCGCGCCGGCGAAGCGGGGCGGCACCUGCGAAUGACCAAUGGCAACACAACGCAAUGGGGCCGCCUCCGGCUGCGUGGCUGCAGUUGGCGCCGGCACCCUCAGGGUGGCCGAGAAACAGAGGGAGC